rnacentral:snoRNA from 1 species
CCGCACUGUUCGUAACCUGGUUCAGUCUUCAGUGUGAAUUUGGGUUCCAUUCCAGUGCCAUAGUGAACUCCAGUGAGGCAGGGGAGCAGUGCCUGUUUGUGCUGGCUCCCUGUUCACUCUCUGGGAACACUG